rnacentral:sRNA from 1 species
GAACACCACAUAUCGCUGAAAGCGCUACGUCCUGUAGCAUCAGCGAUAUGACCAACAUCGUGUUGG